UCCUCCCUCUUUCUUCGUGCUUAACACAUGCAAGUCGAACGGAAAGGCCUUUUCGGAGGUACUCGAGUGGCGAACGGGUGAGUAACACGUGGGUGAUCUGCCCUGCACUCUGGGAUAAGCCUGGGAAACUGGGUCUAAUACCGGAUAGGACCGCACUUUAGUGUGUGUGGUGGAAAGUUUUUUCGGUGUAGGAUGAGCCCGCGGCCUAUCAGCUUGUUGGUGGGGUAAUGGCCUACCAAGGCGGCGACGGGUAGCCGGACUGAGAGGUUGGUCGGCCACAUUGGGACUGAGAUACGGCCCAGACUCCUACGGGAGGCAGCAGUGGGGAAUAUUGCACAAUGGGCGCAAGCCUGAUGCAGCGACGCCGCGUGGGGGAUGACGGCCUUCGGGUUGUAAACUCCUUUCGCCAGGGACGAAGCGUUUUGUGACGGUACCUGGAGAAGAAGCACCGGCUAACUACGUG
rnacentral:rRNA from 1 species